CCUCCAUGAGCACGCUAGCAAGGAAAAAGACACGGCGAUUCACUGAAACGAGGUCGGGAGUUAGAGACGACGCCAUUUCAUCAUUCCUGCGCCAUCUCGCGCUGCUCCGCCUUUCUUUUCUGAGAUCGGUCAGGUUUUUUUGUUUCCCUUUGUAUCUUCCUUUUGAUGCAUUGCAACGGAUCCUGUAAUCGAUGGCGAGCCAACCCCGUUGAUGGACCAAUUGACUUUGUUCUGUGCUGCACAGCAGAGUGUGGUAGGCCAGCUGCAACAAAACAAAAACACACCACGCCACUUUGAACUUGCUGUUUCCUUUCUUCACACACAUCCCCCUGGACUUACGGACGGUUUAUUUUAAGGACUAUUCACGGACUCUAUACAUCCCACGAACGGGAAGGGAAGUGGGUGUGGGCGGUUGGAUCCAUGUUUCCAGCUUAAUGGUUGUUGCACUUUGUUAACAAAGUCUAUGAAUAUGCAAACAAGUGUUAUUUGGAUUUUGCUAAUUGAUAUUGUGGUUCAUUUUGGAAGUGAACUUUGUACAUUUAGAAGGGUGCACCCAGGUAAGGUUUUUUUAAAGUGAUUACUGUGAUUGUGCCACAGGGUUGUCACUGAGGAAAAUACUGGUACC